rnacentral:rRNA from 1 species
GACGAACGCUGGCGGCGUGCCUAAUACAUGCAAGUAGAACGCUGAAGAGAGGAGCUUGCUCUUCUUGGAUGAGUUGCGAACGGGUGAGUAACGCGUAGGUAACCUGCCUUGUAGCGGGGGAUAACUAUUGGAAACGAUAGCUAAUACCGCAUAACAAUGGAUGACACAUGUCAUUUAUUUGAAAGGGGCAAUUGCUCCACUACAAGAUGGACCUGCGUUGUAUUAGCUAGUAGGUGAGGUAAUGGCUCACCUAGGCGACGAUACAUAGCCGACCUGAGAGGGUGAUCGGCCACACUGGGACUGAGACACGGCCCAGACUCCUACGGGAGGCAGCAGUAGGGAAUCUUCGGCAAUGGGGGCAACCCUGACCGAGCAACGCCGCGUGAGUGAAGAAGGUUUUCGGAUCGUAAAGCUCUGUUGUAAGUCAAGAACGGGUGUGAGAGUGGAAAGUUCACACUGUGACGGUAGCUUACCAGAAAGGGACGGCUAACUACGUGCCAGCAGCCGCGGUAAUACGUAGGUCCCGAGCGUUGUCCGGAUUUAUUGGGCGUAAAGCGAGCGCAGGCGGUUUGAUAAGUCUGAAGUUAAAGGCUGUGGCUCAACCAUAGUUCGCUUUGGAAACUGUCAAACUUGAGUGCAGAAGGGGAGAGUGGAAUUCCAUGUGUAGCGGUGAAAUGCGUAGAUAUAUGGAGGAACACCGGUGGCGAAAGCGGCUCUCUGGUCUGUAACUGACGCUGAGGCUCGAAAGCGUGGGAGCGAACAGGAUUAGAUACCCUGGUAGUCCACGCCGUAAACGAUGAGUGCUAGGUGUUGGAUCCUUUCCGGGAUUCAGUGCCGCAGCUAACGCAUUAAGCACUCCGCCUGGGGAGUACGACCGCAAGGUUGAAACUCAAAGGAAUUGACGGGGGCCCGCACAAGCGGUGGAGCAUGUGGUUUAAUUCGAAGCAACGCGAAGAACCUUACCAGGUCUUGACAUCCCGAUGCUAUUUCUAGAGAUAGAAAGUUACUUCGGUACAUCGGUGACAGGUGGUGCAUGGUUGUCGUCAGCUCGUGUCGUGAGAUGUUGGGUUAAGUCCCGCAACGAGCGCAACCCCUAUUGUUAGUUGCCAUCAUUCAGUUGGGCACUCUAGCGAGACUGCCGGUAAUAAACCGGAGGAAGGUGGGGAUGACGUCAAAUCAUCAUGCCCCUUAUGACCUGGGCUACACACGUGCUACAAUGGUUGGUACAACGAGUUGCGAGUCGGUGACGGCGAGCUAAUCUCUUAAAGCCAAUCUCAGUUCGGAUUGUAGGCUGCAACUCGCCUACAUGAAGUCGGAAUCGCUAGUAAUCGCGGAUCAGCACGCCGCGGUGAAUACGUUCCCGGGCCU